rnacentral:tRNA from 1 species
UGGCUCAGAGGGUAAAGCAUCUGCCUGUGAUGCGGAAGACCCAGGUUCAAUCCCUGG